rnacentral:rRNA from 1 species
CGUCCAGACUCCUACGGGAGGCAGCAGUGGGGGAUAUUGGACAAUGGGGGGAACCCUGAUCCAGCGACGCCGCGUGAGUGAAGAAGUAUUUCGGUAUGUAAAGCUCUGUCAGCAGGGAAGAAAGAAAUGACGGUACCUGACCAAGAAGCCCCGGCUAACUACGUGCCAGCAGCCGCGGUAAUACGUAGGGGGCAAGCGUUAUCCGGAAUUACUGGGUGUAAAGGGAGCGUAGACGGUGAUGCAAGUCUGGAGUGAAAGGCGGGGGCCCAACCCCCGGACUGCUCUGGAAACUGUGUAACUUGAGUGCAGGAGAGGUAAGCGGAAUUCCUAGUGUAGCGGUGAAAUGCGUAGAUAUUAGGAGGAACACCAGUGGCGAAGGCGGCUUACUGGACUGUAACUGACGUUGAGGCUCGAAAGCGUGGGGAGCAAACAGGAUUAGAUACCCCAGUAACG